CCUACGGGUGGCAGCAGUGAGGAAUAUUGGUCAAUGGCCGGAAGGCUGAACCAGCCAAGCCGCGUGAAGGACGAAGGUGCCAAGCAUUGUAAACUUCUUUUGUCAAGGGACAAAAUCAGGCUCGAGAGCCUGACCGAGGGUACUUGAAGAAAAAGUAUCGGCAAACUCCAUGCCAGCAGCCGCGGUAAUACGGAGGAUGCGAGCGUUAUCUGGAUUUAUUGGGUUUAAAGGGUGCGUAGGCGGACUGUUAAGUCAGCGGUAAAAGCCCGGGGCUCAACCCCGGCGAGCCGUUGAAACUGGCUGUCUAGAGAUGUCGAGAGGUAUGCGGAAUGCGCAGUGUAGCGGUGAAAUGCUUAGAUAUUGCGCAGAACUCCGAUUGCGAAGGCAGCAUACCGGCUGCGAUCUGACGCUGAGGCACGAAAGCGUGGGUAGCGAACAGGAUUAGAUACCCUAGUAGUC
rnacentral:rRNA from 1 species